UCCUGCUCUUCAGUCAUCUAAAAUGUGAGGCAGAUGAUGUUAGCAAUAACAUUAUGGAAGUCUUUCUCUCACUUUUAACACUGCUGUAAUGAGGAUGAUAGAAUGAGGUAGAACUUACAAGGAAAGAAAGAAGUUAAGAGAUUUCUUCCCUUGCUUUCUUUAGGGACAUUUAUGCCUGCUGGCCAAGUUCAACCAGGAUCGAAGACGCUGAGUUCCGUAAGAACACUGAAGGCGGUCGAUCAAGGAGAGAGACUAGCAUCGCUGCAACCCCCUGACAUAGUGGCAACGUGGUGAAACCAACAGUUAUCUGAUCUGCUUGGCCUGCUGACUAGCACGGAACUUCUUGGGAGGAUCUGUGCUACAAAUGUCCUUACUGUAUCUGAGUAAGAAGGAAGAAUAUCUUUGCCCAUCUUCCAGAAGAUAGGAAUCACAGCAUUUAACUGAGACAGAUGCUGCAUUUCCUGAAAAGUUUUUGUGUGGUUUUAGUUCAAUCAGCCAACUGUUUCAUUACGAUGUGUAAACAAAAUAACUGCAAGAUAGACAGCCAUCAAACAGAGUCCAUGUAUUCUAAAGCUUGGCUUCAGAGAACAUCAAAUAUUACUUCAUGAUUCCAUCUUAAAUGUAAAAUAACUGCUGAGUUGUGAUUGCUUUUAACAUUAUAGUUGGAAUAUAGAAGUAAAAUGUUACACAGUAUGAAGGGAUUCAUUAUUUCAUUAUUAAAAGUUAUCUAUUCUAGUGCUGGAAAGUAGUUAUGUCUGUCUGUCAUUCCCUUAUUU